GUAUUUUGGCAAAAGUUUUUGAACGUACCCAGAAUUUUUGCAACCCUAGGUGUGAGAGUAAUUAAAGGUCCUUUACACAUUAACUUCCUUUGAAGAGAGUAAACCGUUUUUUGUAUCAACAUGUAAAUGUUUGAAUAGGAUUAGUCAGCGAGCUUGGAAAAGUGACCUAUUGGUGACCAUCUCAUCCAUCUGAACAUCCAGGUUUACAGCAGAUACACUUUUGACCUUGAGAUCCACUCUAACUAAUACCCCUUACAUGUCAAGAUGUUUAGCCACAAACUUUACCAUGCCGCCAACUUUUCGCUGCCUUUUCUAUAUAUCUGAAAGAUAUUGCCGGUAACAAAGCCUGUAGCAACGAAGGUAGUCAUGAAUGCGAUAGAAUUCUGCUUAUGGCUUAGAAUGAGUAGAAUCAGAGCUUAGCUUGAGCAGCAAUGUUGAACAUUCCCCCUUUGAUCCUGACAAGACGGAUGGUUUCAAAAUAAUAAGAGCAAUAUGUAGUUGCAAAACAUACUUUGGCUUGCUUAAAAUUACAUUUUCUAAAAGGCAAUUUGUGUCAUGAAAAAGUAAGCUUUGUUUCCAGAUCAAAGUUCCCCAGUCAUUGUUGUCUAGUUAUUAUUGUUGUAAAGUCCUUUGGGUUAUAUUGUAACCAUAGAAUAAUGUGUUUUUACAUCUAAAACCUUAGGUCUGGCUAUAAUGCUGAGUCACACUAAGUUCACUAUAAAGUCCAUAAGUUUUUUGUUUCUUAAUCGGUCACCAAUUACUUUCUGUUUUUGUCUUUUUAGGACGGGGGCGAACAGUUGUUGAGGGAAAAAUAAUGCAUACCAUAUAGAUUUGAGGUACCAUAAAGAUACAAAUAAAUCCAUAAUCAUUGCAUAAUCAUCACUCUUCCUCAUGAGUGUGGUAGUACUAAUGAUGGUGGAUAAAUAAGAUAGUUUACUCGGGCUGUUUACCAUAGAAAAAAUGAUCUGUGUAAGUGGGCGUUCCCUCUAGCGUGUCAGAAUGCUCUCCUCAUGAGCUCACGGUUCCUCCAGAAUAUCUGGCAUGCUCAAGCGAGGAAGGGAACAGCUUGCUCUGGUCAACUGUGUCCCCACAGAUGAUCCAUUAUAUUGACCAGAUACUCAAGUGGCCGCUUGAACAAUUAUUCAAAAAUGGAAGGCGAUGGGAGGAGGCAAGAUCAGGAGUUGAGGCCGUUGAGCUGGUGUGAGAGAGAACUGACUUACAGAACUGUCCUAGACUGGACCUAGUCUGGACCUAGCUGGACCUAGUGUGGACCUAACUGGACCUGGACCAGUGGAGUCUCUGUCUGCCAGUAUUCACAGUUCACAGACUACAGGAGAACAACUGAGCAGGUAAAUCCACUUAUAUUAUUAACUAUGGCUCUUACAAAGAGGUUCUGUGAGGAGAAGCUUUAAUUAGCAAUCUGGCGUCUGAGGGACUGGUGAGUGGGACCAUCUGGACCAGUGGAAAACAAAACAACAACACAAUAGACUCAAAACAAACUAGCUACACUGUUAUUAAAAAGGCCAGCUCUUUGAAACUACUUAGCAUGUUAGCUAAUCCUUACCUUAACCCUUUAACCUAACUCCUAAUCCUAACAAUAACCCUAAACUUAAAUCUUUAACCUAACACUUAACCCUAAAGCUAACCCUUUAACAGAAUUCCUAACCUUAACCAUAACCAUAACCAUAACCUCUAACCCUAAGCCCGAGCCUUGCUAAACAUUAAGUUUAACCACCUAGCCACCGAGCUACAAAUUGUAGUUUGUUACAUAUCAUAAAUUUUUCAAAUUCAUAACAUAUUGUAAGAAAUUGCCGUUAAUGACAUAUUGCGCUAACUGAAAUUCAUGUCAUAUGAAUUGUAAUUCGUAUCAUACAAGAUGUAUGAUGGACAAUCACAAAUAAAUACAUACCAUAUGAAAUGUAACAUAUCAUAAGAAUUUGAGUGUGCCAGAUUUACAUUUACUGUGUUACAUCUACCCCUGAGUCCAGGAUGAUGCAACAGGUGUUUGUGAAUGUUUACUUUAUCUAAAUACAGUGCCUUCAGAAAGUAUUAAUAUCCCUUGACUUAUUCCACAUUUUGUGUUACAGCCUGAAUUCAAAAUUGAUAAAAUAUUUUUUUCCACCCAUCUACACACAAUACCCCAUAAUGACUGUGAAAAUAUAUUUUUCGAAAAGUUAGCAAAUUUACUGAAAAAUAAAUACAGAAAUUUGUCAUCUACAUAAGUAGUUACCGCUGAGACAAUACAUUUUAAAAUCACAGUUGGCAGCAAUUACAGCUGAAAGUCUUUCUGGGUACGUCUCUAAUAGCUUUGCACACUUGUCCUGGAUUGUACAAUAUUCACACAUUAUUAUUUUUAAAAUUAUUCAAGCUCUGUCAAGUUGGUUGCUGAUCAUUGCUAGACAGCCAUUUUCAAGCCAUGCCGUAGAUUUUAAAGCUGAUUAAGUCAAAACUGUACCUUGGCCCCUCAGGAACAUUCAAUUUCAUCUAGGGAAGCAACUCCAGUGUAUAUUUGGCCUUGUGUUUUUGGUUAUUGUCCUGCUGAAAGGUGAAUUUGUCUCCCAGUGUCUGUUGGAAAGCAGACUGAACCAGGAUUUCCUCUUGGAGUUUGCCAGUGCUUGACGCUAUUCUGUUUCUUUUGAUCAUAAAAAACGUAGUCCUUGCCGAUGACAAACAUACCCAUAACAUGACGCAGCCACCACCAUGCUUGGAUAUGAAGAGUGGUACUCAGUGACGUGUUGCGUUGGAUUUGUCCCAAACAUAACACUUUGUAUUUAGGACAUAAAGUGCCUACGGAAAGUAUUCAGACCCCUUGACCAUUUCCACAUUUUGUUACGCUACAGCCUUAUUCUAAAAUUGAUUUAAAAAAUAAAUCAGAAACACAGAAUACCCCAUAAUGACAAAGCAAAAACAGGUUAUUAUACAUUUUUGCAAAUGUAUUAAAGAUAAAAAACAGAAAUACAUUAUUUAUGU
ensembl:lncRNA